rnacentral:sRNA from 1 species
ACCAUUCUACAGUUAAGGGUACAGAAGUAGCUCUUGUCCCUGGUUAGAACCUCUAAACAAACCCAGAAAAUGUUUUCAUCAGAAUCAUCAGGACCGUGUC